rnacentral:rRNA from 1 species
GAUGAACGCUGGCGGCGUGCUUAACACAUGCAAGUCGAACGAGGCACUUUUUUAAGCUUGCUUUUAAAAGUGACUGAGUGGCGGACGGGUGAGUAACGCGUGGGUAACCUACCUCACACAGGGGGAUAACAGUUAGAAAUGACUGCUAAUACCGCAUAAAAUGGCAGUUUCGCAUGAAACAACCAUCAAAGAUUUAUCGGUGUGAGAUGGACCCGCGUCUGAUUAGCUAGUUGGUAAGGUAACGGCUUACCAAGGCGACGAUCAGUAGCCGACCUGAGAGGGUGACCGGCCACAUUGGGACUGAGACACGGCCCAAACUCCUACGGGAGGCAGCAGUGGGGAAUAUUGGACAAUGGGCGCAAGCCUGAUCCAGCGACGCCGCGUGAGCGAUGAAGUAUUUCGGUAUGUAAAGCUCUAUCAGCAGGGAAGAUAAUGACGGUACCUGACUAAGAAGCACCGGCUAAAUACGUGCCAGCAGCCGCCGUAAUAC